CCUGAGGGAGUGGCAGGCUAGGCUCCAAAGCUACACAGAAAAAUCUUGUCUCGAAAAGCAAAAAAAAAAAAAAAAAAACGUUAAAAAAAAAAAAGUAGGCAGGCAAGCCUCCGUGUUAAUAUGGUUGUAACAGACUAGGUGGGUUUCUUGUUUUUAUCGUUCUCAUUCUGCAAGGGGUCUUACACAAGCUGGCUACAAGUCAGGGGGUCAAACACAAACAGUGCAACGUGUACACUUGGAAAUUGUAGAUUGUGAAAGAGUACAAAGGAGGCCUGCAAUAAAAUUAAUUUUUAAAAACUGGAUUCAGAAUGAAGUUGAAAACCAUCUCAUGGGUAGGCAAGCUGUAAAUCUCAGCUGCUACCAGGAGGAGAGGGAUAGAAGAAUCCAGGGAAGGGUCCAAGAAUGCAGGCAGACUGGGUAGUGGAGGUCUGAAAGCAGCUUGUGGGUACUGGUAGGGGCAUGGGGAGAUGGAGGUGGGUGGGAUGGUGAUGCCCACGGUGUCAGCAUUUCAGCUGGUUACUAAGGAUCCUCCCAUUCCUCUGGUAUUUUAAACUUUAAGGAGGGUGCUUCCUUUUUUUGAAAUUGGUGUGUUAUGAAGAAAACAAGAGGUGGGAGGCCGAGCUGAUCUGAAGGGAGAGUCCCUCCUCAGUGGCCUCCGAGUAGGCUAAAGCUGUCUGUCUACCCAACAGAAUAGGACCUGGCUGUUUGUUUUGUUUUUGAGACAGCGCCUCAUAUAGUCUAGGCUAGCUUUGAACUUUUGAUCCCCUAGGCUCCUCCUCUCCAGUGCUGGAAUGACAGGAAUGAGACACUAGGCCAGGCUAGAAAAGGUCCCAAAAAUCUGGAUUCGGUCUCCAGCACAAAACCGGAAACUGAAGCCAGAGAAGCAUCGAGAAGCUUCUGUUGCAGGUCCUACAAAGCAUUCCCAUCUUUUAGGCCCUAAGACUUACGGGUUCCGGCCUGUGGCUCUGCCCACUCCACUACUGGGAGAGACCAGUGCCGAGACUCGACUCCAGCCGCAGGGGGCGCUGUUCCGCUUCCCUGCAGCAGGAAGCGGAGCCUCGUAUCCCUUCUGCGAGUGAGCCACGGGGAAACGUCAUAUCCGGUCCUGCGCGCACUGCACCGGAGCCGGAACUGGUGGGUAAAUGGUGGCGGUUUCUUCAAGACCCCUUCUUGGAUAGAGAACUGGCUCUUCCCUACCUCCUGCGACGCUCUUUACAGGGGAUCACCGGGAAGUUCUACCGCUUGGUGACUUCGGACCGCAGCAUAAGCCUCAAACGCUACUUCAAUGUCCACUCUCACAUGCUCCGGAAGACCCUGUCUUCCCGGCUAUCCAAGGAACUGCGGCAGAAGUACAACGUCCCUUCCGUGCCCAUCUGCAAGGACGACGAGGUCCAGGUAGUUAUCACCAGGCUGGAACCAGACUAAGACAGGAAAAGAAUUCUUCAACACAAAGCCAAGUCUCAUCAAGUUGGAAAGAGAAAGGCCACUGUAGGGAUCUCAUGGAGGAUGCAGGAGUGAAAUGAGCUGUCGUGCACCCAGGGCUAACUGCAGAGGCCUUGUCUUGUGCCGGCUUCUUUGAAACUUUUCAAAGUGUGUCUGAUGUGUUUCAUUGUCCACCUGUUUUGCUACUGAACUGUCACUCUGUAAAUCUCCUUUUGCAGUUUUGAUAAUUUAUGAAUAAAAAUUGGAACUAUUUCCCAAAGUCAAGUGGCAUUUACAUUAUUUUAUAAAUGAAAGCCUUCUCAUCCACCAGCACAGUAGCACUGAUAGGCCUUGCUCUUUGCUCUGGCAGAGGGGGG
rnacentral:lncRNA from 1 species